rnacentral:rRNA from 1 species
UUUAAUUCGAAGCAACGCGAAGAACCUUACCAGGUCUUGACAUCCCACUGCCCGCUAUGGAGACAUAGCCUUCCCUUCGGGGACAGUGGUGACAGGUGGUGCAUGGUUGUCGUCAGCUCGUGUCGUGAGAUGUUGGGUUAAGUCCCGCAACGAGCGCAACCCUUGAUCUUAGUUGCCAGCAUUGAGUUGGGCACUCUAAGGUGACUGCCGGUGACAAACCGGAGGAAGGUGGGGAUGACGUCAAAUCAUCAUGCCCCUUAUGACCUGGGCUACACACGUGCUACAAUGGAUGGUACAAAGGGCAGCGAAACCGCGAGGUGGAGCGAAUCCCAUAAAACCAUUCUCAGUUCGGAUUGCAGGCUGCAACUCGCCUGCAUGAAGCCGGAAUCGCUAGUAAUCGUGGAUCAGCAUGCCA